AAUCAACGCUGGCGGCGCGCUUAACACAUGCAAGUCGCACGAGAAAGGGUAGCAAUAUCCAAGUAAAGUGGCGUACGGGUGAGUAACACGUGGAUCAUCUACCUUCUAGUGGGGAAUACCUCCGGGAAACUGGAGACAAUACCGCAUAAGCUCGAAAGAGGAAAGCAGCAAUGCGCUGGAAGAGGAGUCCGCGGUCGAUUAGCUAGAUGGUGAGGUAAUGGCUCACCAUGGCGAAGAUCGAUAGCCGGCCUGAGAGGGCUCACGGCCACACUGGCACUGAAACACGGGCCAGACUCCUACGGGAGGCAGCAGUGGGGAAUCUUGCACAAUGGAGGAAACUCUGAUGCAGCGACGCCGCGUGAGUGAUGAAGCCCUUCGGGGUGUAAAGCUCUUUCGACAGGAACGAUAAUGACGGUACCUGAAGAAGAAGCUGCGGCUAACUACGUGCCAGCAGCCGCGGUAAUACGUAGGCAGCAAGCGUUGUUCGGAAUUACUGGGCGUAAAGAGUGUGUAGGCGGUGCUCUAAGUUUGGUGUGAAAUCUCCCGGCUCAACCGGGAGGCUGCAUCGAAUACUGGAAUGCUAGAGGAUUGGAGAGGUAAGCGGAAUUCCUGGUGUAGCGGUGAAAUGCGUAGAUAUCAGGAGGAACACCUGUGGUGUAGACAGCUUACUGGACAAUUUCUGACGCUGAGACACGAAAGCGUGGGUAGCAAACAGGAUUAGAUACCCUGGUAGUCCACGCCCUAAACGAUGCAUACUUGGUGUGGGCCAUUCAUUUGGUCUGUGCCGGAGCUAACGCGUUAAGUAUGCCGCCUGGGGAGUACGGUCGCAAGGCUG
rnacentral:rRNA from 1 species